UACGGAGGGUGCAAGCGUUGUUCGGAUUUACUGGGCGUAAAGCGUGCGCAGGCGGUUUUGUAAGCCAGAUGUGAAAUCCCCGGGCUUAACCUGGGAAUGGCAUUUGGGACUGCAAGGCUCGAGUGCGGCAGAGGAGACUGGAAUUCCUGGUGUAGCAGUGAAAUGCGUAGAUAUCAGGAGGAACACCGAUGGCGAAGGCAGGUCUCUGGGCUGACACUGACGCUCAUGCACGAAAGCGUGGGGAGCAAACAGG
rnacentral:rRNA from 1 species